CCUACGGGGGGCAGCAGUGAGGAAUAUUGGUCAAUGGGCGCGAGCCUGAACCAGCCAAGUCGCGUGAAGGAUGAAUGCACUAAGGAUUGUAAACUUCUUUUAUCAGGGAAUAAAGUGAGGCACGUGUGCCUGGUUGAGUGUACUUUAAGAAAAAGCAUCGGCUAACUCCGUGCCAGCAGCCGCGGUAAUACGGAGGAUGCGAGCGUUAUCCGGAUUUAUUGGGUUUAAAGGGAGCGUAGAUGGGUUGUUAAGUCAGUUGUGAAAGGUUGCGGCUCAACAGUAGAACGGCAUUUGAAACUGGCAGCCUUGAGUACAGGAGAGGUAGGCGGAAUUCGCGGUGUAGCGGUGAAAUGCAUAGAUAUCACGAAGAACUCCGAUUGCGAAGGCAGCUUGCUAAACUGCCACUGACAUUGAGGCUCGAAAGUGUGGGUAUCAAACAGGAUUAGAUACCCUAGUAGUC
rnacentral:rRNA from 1 species